ensembl:lncRNA
CUGGCCUGAGGCUGCCGCCUGUGAGAGCUUACAUGGACGACCUUACCACCCUCACCACGACCAAGGCUUGCACUGUACGGCUACUGAAAAAGCUGCAAGAUAACAUCGAGCUGGCUCGGAUGAAGAUCAAGCCGAGCAAGUCCAGAAGCAUCUCCAUCGUCAAGUGGAAGCUGUCAGACCAACGCUUUCUCAUUGGCGAUGAGCCUAUUCCAACUGUCUCUGAGAAGCCUGUGAAGAGCCUUGGCCGAUGGUAUGAUGCCUCCCUCAAGGACAAAGAGCAAGUAGAUCAGCUCAGGAAGGAUGUAGCCAGCGGCCUGGAGAACAUCAACAGAACCGCACUACCUGGCAAGUUGAAGCUCUGGUGUAUGCAGUUUGGGCUCCUUCCACGCCUCUUAUGGCCACUUACCAUGUAUGAAGUCCCGAUCUCAAAGGUGGAAAAGCUGGAGAGGCUGGUCAGCUCAUAUGCAAGGAAGUGGCUUGGGCUUCCCAGGUGCCUCAGCAGUAUAGGGCUCUAUGGCAAAGGAGUAUUAGAACUGCCCAUUUCCAGUCUAGCAGAGGAGUAUAAAUGCGCCAAAGUUAGACUGGAGAUGAUGCUAUUGGAUUCGAGUGAUCCAUUUGUAGCCCAAGCUGCACCCAUCCUGGCUACUGGGAGGAAGUGGACCCCACUGGAAGCAACCAAGCAGGCAAAGGCAGCACUCAAGCACAGGGACAUCGUGGGCCGAGUGCAGCACGGGAGGAGUGGUCUUGGAGCCGGAGCCAGUACACCGGCCUGGAACAAGGCUACUCCGUUCCAGAGACGCAAGCUGGUGGUCCAGGAGGUACGUCAGCAAGAGGAGGCAGCAAGGUGUGCAAAAGCUGUUUCACAGGCAAAGCAGGGGCAGUGGAUGACUUGGGAGGGAGUGGAGAAGAGGAAGAUCUCCUGGCAGGAGCUGUGGGAGAUGGAGGCAUUUAAGGCUAGCUUCACCAUCAGGGCCGCUUAUGAUGUACUGCCGUCUCCCAAGAAUCUUAGCCAGUGGUACGGAGAAGACCCGACAUGCUCCCUCUGCCCGACUCCAGCUACACUAAAGCACAUCCUGGUGGGCUGCAAGACCGGCCUCACUCAAGGCCGGUACACCUGGCGGCACAACCAGGUGCUACAGUGUCUUGCGGCAGUGAUGGAGAGUCGACGGAUGAGCGUCAAUGCCCUUCCUCCACCAUCUCGUAGGCCGGCAACAACAUUUGUCCGGGAGGGCGGGGGCCAAGCCACUCUCACCACCACAAGACCAGAAACUGGACAGCUAGGUGGGGCACGGGACUGGAAGAUGCUGGCAGACCUAGGCCAGAAGCUCCGAUUUCCAGCAGAAAUAGCAACAUCAAAUCUGCGACCAGACCUUGUGCUUUGGUCGGCCUCACUCAAGCAGGUCUAUAUCGUCGAGCUCACGGUGCCCUGGGAGAGUGCGGUGGAAGAGGCUUACGAGCGCAAGAAGCUAAGGUAUGCGGACCUUGCAGCAGACGCACAACAAUGAGGCUGGAAAGCUAAGGUCUGCCCAGUUGAAGUAGGCUGCAGAGGAUUUGUAGCCACCUCAACAUCCAGGCUUCUUCGAAAGAUGGGAGUGCGGGGGAAGGCCCACAGGCAGGCAGUCAAAGACCUUUCCAGGGCUGCUGAAAAGGGAAGUCAGU